GAUCAAGCUUAAUCGUCGAGAUAAAGCAUUCACUUCAUGAGGAAAAGACUCUACUACCAACAUCAAAAGCCUGUCAGACUGAGCACAUGAAAGUCUGUUUUCUGAGAGCUGCUCAUCAUCUGACUGGAGAACUCGACGGAGCUUUUUAUUCUUGAAACAUUCAAAACAAAGCAUCCUUGGAAGUCCAUCGUGAAACAAAUAGUCAUCCGAAUCAAUCAUCUGAGUGCUAGCACUUCCUGGGUCUCCAUACUACCCUUCCCAUCAGCCCCUGCUGUCUCUCCCAGAAGCUCCACAGCUGUUUUCCAUCUGCAACAAAUGGAUUCAUUUGUUUUUCUCGUCGGAUCUGGAAUCUGCCUCAGAACUCUAUGGAUGGAAAACUCCAGUAUUUUUCACCAUUUUUGUUGCACGGCUAAUUAUGGGUACAUGGAUAGAAAUAAAUCUAAAAAAAACAAUGGUUGUCAUACUUUGUUUCGCAGUUUAUCACAAACACAAAUAAACAAAUGUCUGAAUAAUGGGUGAUGGGAAGGGGGGGCUGGAUUGCUCCAUGGCAACUCAGAGGCAGAUUUCUAACCAAUUCCUGCCACUCUGCAGAAGCUAUAUCCCAGAAAACAAAACAGAUAAAAAAAAUUUGGCUAAAAAUGGCACAAAAAAACAAAUAAAAUAA